rnacentral:rRNA from 1 species
AGGUCACCGCUAUUGGGAUACGCUUAAGCCAUGCGAGUCGAGAGGGUUCGGCCCUCGGCGGACGGCUCAGUAACACGCGGAUAAUCUGCCCUGGGGUGGGGGAUAAGCUCGGGAAACUGAGUAUAAUACCCCAUAGAUUUAAGGCACUGGAAUGUCCAUAAGUUGAAAGCUCCGGCGCCCCAGGAUGAGUCUGCGGCCUAUCAGGCUGUAGGGGGUGUAACGGACCCCCUAACCUUCGACGGGUACGGGCCUUGGGAGAGGUUGCCCGGAGAUGGAUUCUGAGACACGAAUCCAGGCCCUACGGGGCGCAGCAGGCGCGAAAACUUCGCAAUGUGGGAAACCACGACGAGGGAAUCCCAAGUGCCAGUACACUGUACUGGCUGUUUUUCUGUCUAAAACACAGGAAGAGUAAGGGCUGGGUAAGACGGGUGCCAGCCGCCGCGGUAAUACCCGCAGCCCGAGUGGUGAUCGGUAUUAUUGGGCCUAAAACGUCCGUAGCCGGUCUCAGUAAAUUCUCUGGGUAAAUCGGAGUGCUCAACAUUCCGAAUUCCGGGAAGACUGCUGGGCUCGGGACCGGGGGAGGUCGGAGGUACUUCGGGGGUAGGGGUGAAAUCCUGUAAUCCCCGAGGGACCACCAGUGGCGAAGGCGUCCGACCAAAACGGAUCCGACGGUAAGGGACGAAGCCCUGGGUCGCAAACGGGAUUAGAUACCCCGGUAGUCCAGGGUGUAAACGCUGCGGGCUUGGUGUCGGGGGUCCCACGGGGGCGUCCGGUGCCGGAGUGAAGAUGUUAAGCCCGCUGCCUGGGGAGUACGGUCGCAAGACUGAAACUUAAAGGAAUUGGCGGGGGAGCACCGCAACGGGUGGAGCGUGCGGUUCAAUUGGAUUCAACGCCGGAAAACUCACCGGGGGCGACGGUUAUAUGAAGGCCAGGCUGAUGACCUUGCCAGAUUUUCCGAGAGGUGGUGCAUGGCCGUCGUCAGUUCGUACCGUAAGGCGUUCUGUUAAGUCAGAUAACGAACAAGACCCCUACCCCUAAUUGCCAUCCUUUCCCUUGGGGGAAGAGGAACAUUAGGGGAACCGCUGGCGCUAAGUCAGAGGAAGGAGGGGGCAAACKAKASKKCAKWAKGSMMYGAAUCUMYCGGGCUACACGCGCGCUACAAAGGCUGRCACAAUWGGAUACGACACCGAGAGGUGAAUCAGGUAAUCCUGAAAUCCAGUCCUAGUUCGGAUUGRGGGCUGUAAUUCGCCCUCAUGAAGCUGGAAUCCGUAGUAAUCGCGUGUCAACAUCACGCGGUGAAUAUGCCCCUGCUCC